AGUGAACGCUGGCGGUAGGCCUAACACAUGCAAGUCGAACGGCAGCACAGUAAGAGCUUGCUCUUACGGGUGGCGAGUGGCGGACGGGUGAGGAAUACCUCGGAAUCUACUUUUUCGUGGGGGAUAACGUAGGGAAACUUACGCUAAUACCGCAUACGACCUACGGGUGAAAGCAGGGGAUCUUCGGACCUUGCGCGAUUGAAUGAGCCGAUGUCGGAUUAGCUAGUUGGCGGGGUAAAGGCCCACCAAGGCGACGAUCCGUAGCUGGUCUGAGAGGAUGAUCAGCCACACUGGAACUGAGACACGGUCCAGACUCCUACGGGAGGCAGCAGUGGGGAAUAUUGGACAAUGGGCGCAAGCCUGAUCCAGCCAUACCGCGUGGGUGAAGAAGGCCUUCGGGUUGUAAAGCCCUUUUGUUGGGAAAGAAAAGCAGCAGGUUAAUACCCCGCUGUUCUGACGGUACCAAAAGAAUAAGCACCGGCUAACUUCGUG
rnacentral:rRNA from 1 species